CACGUAGGGUGCGAGCGUUGUCCGGAAUUAUUGGGCGUAAAGAGCUCGUAGGCGGUGUGUCGCGUCGGCCGUGAAAACCUGCAGCUUAACUGUGGGCUUGCGGUCGAUACGGGCAUCACUGGAGUUCGGCAGGGGAGACUGGAAUUCCUGGUGUAGCGGUGAAAUGCGCAGAUAUCAGGAGGAACACCGGUGGCGAAGGCGGCUUUCUGGCCUGUUCUUGACGCUGAGGCGCGAAAGCUAGGGGAGCAAACGGG
rnacentral:rRNA from 1 species